UACCCGCUGGAACUUAAGCAUAUCAAUAAGCGGAGGAAAAGAAACCAACAGGGAUUGCCUCAGUAACGGCGAGUGAAGCGGCAACAGCUCAAAUUUGAAAUCUGGCUCUUUCAGGGUCCGAGUUGUAAUUUGUAGAGGAUGCUUCGGGUACGGCUCCGGUCUAAGUUCCUUGGAACAGGACGUCACAGAGGGUGAGAAUCCCGUACGUGACCGGCCGCCACGCCCAUGUGAAGCUCCUUCGACGAGUCGAGUUGUUUGGGAAUGCAGCUCAAAAUGGGUGGUAAAUUUCAUCUAAAGCUAAAUAUUGGCCAGAGACCGAUAGCGCACAAGUAGAGUGAUCGAAAGAUGAAAAGCACUUUGGAAAGAGAGUUAAACAGUACGUGAAAUUGUUGAAAGGGAAGCGCUUGCAACCAGACUUGCCCGCGGGUGAUCAGCCGGUAUUUUUACCGGUGCACUCGCCCGUGGUCAGGCCAGCAUCGGUUUGGGCGGUUGGAUAAAGUCCCCCUGAAUGUAGCUCCUCUCGGGGAGUGUUAUAGCUGGGGGUGCAAUGCAACCCGCCCGGACCGAGGACCGCGCUUCGGCUAGGG
rnacentral:rRNA from 1 species